rnacentral:ncRNA from 1 species
CGACACUGUGCAAAAAGAUAGCUUCUCCUAGAGUUCUGAGACUCUUGGUUGGACCUCCUAUUUUGCUUUGUGUCG